UAACUUCUAAAGGUUUCUUUCGUCUGCUUUUACGAACAUGGGAAGCAGCACGACCACAAGGUGGUAGCAGUCUGUAAGGAAGGGCGAGGAGAUGCCGCUGAGGUUUGCUGACGGAUCCGUGGGGCCAGAUGCUGGCUGUGUGCUGUGCCAUGGGGUGGAGCAUUUGUAGGGUUCAAGCAGAGUUAUUUUACAUCCAGUUGCUGUUAUCUUUAGUCAUUUCACUUUGACCACUUUGAGCAAUGGGCCAUAACGCCUAUGGUGUUGUAUCUAUGUGGGUUUGUUGGUCACCUGGGUCAUAGCAUCUUUCUUGUUAGCUGUACAGCCCCAUAGGCUGGUGUCACAGGGCUUGGUCAAGGAUGCCAAGCGCAAAUUGGUUUCAAAAUUGCCAGCUUAAGCUAGCAUCUUGGUUUGUGUGCUGCCAUGCCCGAGGCCCUGGCUGGCCGGUGCAGUCAAUCUACUUUCUGUCUCUCAUAACGGUAUCCAGAAUGGCAUGGCCCCAGGUUGCACAUUGCCUCCUGCGUAUUCCUUCUGCCAGCUCAGAUCAGUUCAGAGUAAUGUAACGGGUUAACUUCAUACUGCCUGUCUUUGUAAGAGAUCAGACAUCAUUCAGCCUCCCAGGCUGACAUAAAGUUCGCGUUGAUAGAAGGUGACAGUAAAAACCCCAUCAUGUGCUCUGUCUGUUUUAACAGAAAUGCAGUCAUAUGCCCACACGUGAUCAAGAUUAAAUAUGUGCUACUGAGUGAUCUGGCAGUGUGCAGAACCAUAUUAAUGUGCAUGAAACCACAGUUUCAGGAAAAAAAAAAAUCUUCUGUUGCUCCUGUUAUGAGAGAAAAGAAGAGAAAGAGUAACCUCUGGCAGAUUACUGGGGUAGACAACUCCAAGGAUCAUUUCGGCGUGGGUUACAAUCAUCAGAAGAAAUACAUGAGCUCCAUCUCUAAUAAGUCUCCUGAGCUUUCUUUGAAAAUUUCAUCUGCAACUCCAAAUAAACCCUUCUGUAUCUCUG
rnacentral:lncRNA from 1 species